GACGAACGCUGGCGGCGUGCUUAACACAUGCAAGUCGAACGGAAAGGCCCUGCUUUUGUGGGGUGCUCGAGUGGCGAACGGGUGAGUAACACGUGAGUAACCUGCCCUUGACUUUGGGAUAACUUCAGGAAACUGGGGCUAAUACCGGAUAGGAGCUCCUGCUGCAUGGUGGGGGUUGGAAAGUUUCGGCGGUUGGGGAUGGACUCGCGGCUUAUCAGCUUGUUGGUGGGGUAGUGGCUUACCAAGGCUUUGACGGGUAGCCGGCCUGAGAGGGUGACCGGCCACAUUGGGACUGAGAGACGGCCGAGACUCCUACGGGAGGCAGCAGUGGGGAAUAUUGCACAAUGGGCGGAAGCCUGAUGCAGCAACGCCGCGUGCGGGAUGACGGCCUUCGGGUUGUAAACCGCUUUCGCAUGGGACGAAGCGUGAGUGACGGUAAUGGGUAAAGAAGCACCGGCUAACUACG
rnacentral:rRNA from 1 species